CCAGACUCCUACGGGAGGCAGCAGUGGGGAAUAUUGCACAAUGGGCGCAAGCCUGAUGCAGCGACGCCGCGUGCGGGAUGACGGCCUUCGGGUUGUAAACCGCUUUUGACUGGGAGCAAGCCCUUCGGGGUGAGUGUACCUUUCGAAUAAGCACCGGCUAACUACGUGCCAGCAGCCGCGGUAAUACGUAGGGUGCAAGCGUUAUCCGGAAUUAUUGGGCGUAAAGGGCUCGUAGGCGGUUCGUCGCGUCCGGUGUGAAAGUCCAUCGCUUAACGGUGGAUCCGCGCCGGGUACGGGCGGGCUUGAGUGCGGUAGGGGAGACUGGAAUUCCCGGUGUAACGGUGGAAUGUGUAGAUAUCGGGAAGAACACCAAUGGCGAAGGCAGGUCUCUGGGCCGUCACUGACGCUGAGGAGCGAAAGCGUGGGGAGCGAACAGGAUUAGAUACCCUGGUAGUCCACGCCGUAAACGGUGGAUGCUGGAUGUGGGGACCAUUCCACGGUCUCCGUGUCGGAGCCAACGCGUUAAGCAUCCCGCCUGGGGAGUACGGCCGCAAGGCUAAAACUCAAAGAAAUUGACGGGGGCCCGCACAAGCGGCGGAGCAUGCGGAUUAAUUCGAUGCAACGCGAAGAACCUUACCUGGGCUUGACAUGUUCCCGACAGCCGUAGAGAUACGGUCUCCCUUCGGGGCGGGUUCACAGGUGGUGCAUGGUCGUCGUCAGCUCGUGUCGUGAGAUGUUGGGUUAAGUCCCGCAACGAGCGCAACCCUCGCCCUGUGUUGCCAGCACGUCGUGGUGGGAACUCACGGGGGACCGCCGGGGUCAACUCGGAGGAAGGUGGGGAUGACGUCAGAUCAUCAUGCCCCUUACGUCCAGGGCUUCACGCAUGCUACAAUGGCCGGUACAACGGGAUGCGACACUGUGAGGUGGAGCGGAUCCCUUAAAACCGGUCUCAGUUCGGAUUGGAGUCUGCAACCCGACUCCAUGAAGGCGGAGUCGCUAGUAAUCGCGGAUCAGCAACGCCGCGGUGAAUGCGUUCCCGGGCCUUGUACACACCGCCCGUCAAGUCAUGAAAGUGGGUAGCACCCGAAGCCGGUGGCCCAACCUUUUGGGGGGAGCCGUCUAAGGUGAGACUCGUGAUUGGGACUAAGUCGUAACAAGGUAGCCGUACCGGAAGGUGCGGCUG
rnacentral:rRNA from 1 species